GACGAACGCUGGCGGCGUGCCUAAUACAUGCAAGUAGAACGCACAGUUUAUACCGUAGCUUGCUACACCAUAAACUGUGAGUUGCGAACGGGUGAGUAACGCGUAGGUAACCUGCCUGGUAGCGGGGGAUAACUAUUGGAAACGAUAGCUAAUACCGCAUAAUAUUGAUUAUUGCAUGAUAAUUGAUUGAAAGAUGCUAUUGCAUCACUACCAGAUGGACCUGCGUUGUAUUAGCUAGUAGGUGAGGUAACGGCUCACCUAGGCGACGAUACAUAGCCGACCUGAGAGGGUGAUCGGCCACACUGGGACUGAGACACGGCCCAGACUCCUACGGGAGGCAGCAGUAGGGAAUCUUCGGCAAUGGACGAAAGUCUGACCGAGCAACGCCGCGUGAGUGAAGAAGGUUUUCGGAUCGUAAAGCUCUGUUGUAAGAGAAGAACGGGUGUGAGAGUGGAAAGUUCACACUGUGACGGUAUCUUAACAGAAAGGGACGGCUAACUACGUG
rnacentral:rRNA from 1 species